AGGGCCUCACUCGUGGCAUAUGGAAGUUUCCAGGCUAGGGGUCGAAUCAGAACUGCAGCUGCUGGUCUACGGCACAGACAAAGCCAUGAGAGAUCCGAGCCACAUCUGUGACCUACACCAUAGCUCAUGGCAACGCCAGAUCCCCCAACCCACUGAGCGAGGCCAGGGAUCGAACCCGAAUCCUCAUGGAUACUAGUCAGAUUUGUUUCCACUGCACCACAACGGGAAUUCCUAAUUUCUUCUUCUUAAUACAAAACAAAGUACGUUCUUUACAAAAAAUAUUUUAAAUUCAUAUGCCCAAAAAAAAAAAGUAAUAUCCCUCGACCAGACAAAAACAACCAUUUUGAGCCCCAGACAUACUACUUUAAACAGCUACGUGUGCACAUUUGCUAGUUCAUGUGGUUACACCAAGAUGUCUCACCCAGCACAUACUGCUGUUUAAACUGGGUGGAGUUGGGGUUUUUUUUGCCAUUUUUUUUUUUUUUGUGCUGAGCAACAGAUGCCAUUUUAACGACAUGCUUUAACAUUAAAUACAUUUAUUUAACCCAUCUGCUAAUGGCUAGAUGUCUAGUUCCCUUCCAGGUUUCAGGGUUAUAAACAGUGGACAAGGAACAUCCUUUUAACUGAACAUUUGAGCAUAACCUUGAUCCUGUUCUUCAGCUGGAACCCCAGAAGCAGAAAUGCUGACUCAAGGGGUGUGCACACCUGAAGGCUGCUGAUGUACCUAGGCUCCCAAAAAGCUAAACCAACUUACACUCCCAACAAUUAGUUCGGGAAUGAAAAGGAUCCAGUUUCUACAGGCUCACGAACACCACUGACCAGAAAGAGGAUUAACUUGUUUCCUGGACUAAUCUCUAGAAUUUCACUUUUGGAGGUCAGGGGGGAAUCAUUUCAACAGCUGAUCAAAACAGAGGAAUUUUCUGGCUGUCAGUUAAAUUAGAAAUUUUUACUCUGUUAGUUUCACUUGAACCGCAGAAUUCUGUCAGACCCACUAAGGCAAACAGAAGGUCACCUCUACAGGACUCUAUUUAAUUCAGUGAUCUUGAUUGAGAUAAUUGUUGUAAAUUCAUAUUUGACAGCCCCUACAGAGAUCAGCCUCCCACCAAGGACUCUCAGGCUAAGACAGUUGUGGCCUUUUCAUGCACCUGCUUAAGACACAGUGCUAUCUGUAGCCUGGUACCUGGCACAUACUAAAUGGUCCCCAAAAUGUGGUUUACUAUCAGUGUUCUAUUAUAAGCAACACAACUUCAACAUGACAUAAGCAGGACUUAAAUUCCAGCUGCUUUGAUCCUCUUUUUUUACAGACGAGGAAACUGGGGUUCACAAAGCUAAGCUUAGAACGCAGGGUUCCUUGAGGCCAGCCUGAUACUCUUUCUCUAAAACUAUUUGAUCUGUUGGCAGGCUUUCUCUGUACAGAGUGAAGGCUAGAGACACCUCAAUUCACACAAUUACACUUAAUCAGACCAAUCUGAGGCUUAGGUCUACAGGCUCAAAAUACACUUGGCUUAUAGAUAGCUGCAACUCUCUGAAGCAGGUAUUUUAAGCUGCAGGCUAAAAGCAAAUGGGUUUAUGCCCACCUCAGAUGAUGAUGAAUGAUUGAUUAUAAAUCUCUACUCUGAUCCAGGGUUUCUGAUUGCUCAAGUCAGAGGGAUGAGGACUAAUUAAAAACGCUCGCACAGUCAUCACCACUGAUUAUGCAUAAUCCGCUGCCGAGAGUACAAGCGCGGUGCCUUCUCAAAAAUGACAGCAGAAACAGAUGAACUUCCACUUGGCACUCCCAGAGGUUCUGUGUUUUGAUUUCUGGGUAAAUGGGCUUUCCCUAAUCACCUAAGUCACACACAGAAUGGCAGUCCCAAAACCCUGGACCAAACUUGCCUCUUCUUUCUGAGCAGGGGCUGGCCAGGUCUGGUCACAGGGUGCAGGAUCAAUAAAUAAGCAGAGAAGGACUGGUAAACAGGUCUGUGGGUAUGCUGUAGGGAUUGUCUCAAAACUAAUUUUUCUAAACACCUACAUCACCGAAAGCCACGGCGUGUGCUGCUGUGAGCAGAAGGAAAUGCAUUUGCCACCAAGAACAGCCUGUAUAUGGGCUCCCUCUCUAGUGCACUCCAGCCCUACAGUAAGUGGCUUGUACUGAUCUCGCCCUACCCCUUCAGGGCCACAGUGCUUAUCUGACAGUCAGCAGGGCUGUUGUGUUCUCCCAGGAAAAACGUCACCAAGGCAAAACACUGACAAGUACCUGCUUUUUUUUUUUUUUUUGCUAUUUUUUUGGGCCGCUCCCGCGGCAUAUGGAGGUUCCCAGGCUAGGGCCCCUCCAAGAAUAAGAAAGGGGAGUUCCCGCUGUGGCACAGUGGGUUAAGAACCUGACUGCAGCAGCUCAGGUGGCUCCAGAGGCACACGUUCAAUCCCUGGCCUGGUGCGGUGGGUUAAAGGAUCCGGCAUUGCCACAGCAAUCCCUGGCCCCGAAACUUCCAUAUGCCCUGGGUGUGGCCAUAAAAAAAUUUUUUUUUAAAAAGAGUAAGAAAGGUCCAGCACUAUUCCUUGCAUUUCACCAUGGCCUUGCCUCAUCUCUGAAGAACUCAGAAGUAAAAAGCACAUCAUGGCCUAGUGGGAUCAAAUAAGCCAAAUUUCAGAUCCCAGCCCAGCCACCUACAGAGACAACAACUUUGAGCAUAGUACUUAACCUCUUUUGGCUGCAAUUUCCUCUGCUUCAAAACAGGGGUGAUAGCUUCCAUCUUAUGGCAUCUUGUGGGCAUGACAUGACGGUGACUUUUCACCUUCUUGAUGUGCUUGCCCAGCCACAGCCCCUUCUAAAGGAAAUGGGUAACAUUCCCAACCAAUGUCGGGAGCCAGCCCUUGGCAAUGACUUCCUGUACACACACACACCCACAUACACCCCACCAUCAUCAUCAUCACCACUGCCAUCAUCAUCAACCUGCUUGUCACAUAAUCUGACAGGACCAAAGAGCAGGAACCCGGCCUAAAAGCAACUAAUCCCUAGGCUGGCAGUGAACCUAUGACGACAUGGUUUAAUCUCAGAGAUGACAGUUAAUUAGCUCAGCCACUCAAAUUCGCUUAAAGAUUUGAACUGAGAGGUAAAGCCAGCAGGCAGCAAGAAGUGCAACAGACAAGCCCGAAUAGCAGCCUGGACAGUAGCUCAGCUAAAGUGAGGGCAGACGCCCGGAACGACCCUCCACAGCCCUUCAGCUGAGGCUCCAGAGCCAGCGGGGAUCCAAACACCUUCCAAUUCCAGCCUCCAGGUGUCCAGCUCC
ensembl:lncRNA